AAGGAAAAAUCGUGUAUUUGUAACCUAGA
rnacentral:piRNA from 1 species